GCCGCGGAAGUGGGAGGGCGAUUCGUCAGGGCUUUUAAAGGGGCCGCCGCCCUGGUUAUUGGGCGAGUGCGGGGAUAAGGUGUUACGGUGGGAAAGAUGCAGAAGUUGAAGUUCACAGAGGAUUGCUGAUACAUUGAAGGCAGCAGGGCUAAAGAAGAGCCAGACUUCAUGACACUGAGAACCAAGCUCCUCCUAAUUGCUCUGCUCCAGUGCGUGCCAAAACAACCAUCUAGCUGCCAGAAAUAGGACAGAUAACUUCAAAAGAGUGUUGUCAGAACAGACCCGGGAGCUCUCUCUCUUUCAUCCUUCCAGUCACAGACUCUGGGAACAUCUUCUCACCAUCUUCCGCUUCCAGACCCGACCACAAGCAAUAAGGGCAGCUCGUUAUUGCUGAGCACCCUUAACCUCUUGGAUUCGUGGGAAUCAUCCCACUGAGGUGGAGGCUGCCGUCAACCGCCUGGUCAGUCUGCGCCUGCGCCGCCUGGUCAGUCUACACCUACCUUUCUCUGGGCUACUCCUUCCGUGGAGAUAGUGUGGCUCUGGUGAGCAUGGGGCAUUUCUCUGGCAAGCUAAGCUGGCCCACAAGAAGCACAAAGGCUCCAAGCAACUCCUGAAGAUGCAAAACCAACAUGGCAGCUGUGAUUUCUUUCAGGAUGGGCAGAAACCUUCUAAAGAUGACUGGGGUAAAAAAGCUGCCCUGACCCUGGAGAAGAACUGGAACCAAGUUCUUUUGAAUCUUCAUGCUUGGGUCCUGCCAGGACAGAUCCCCAUCUCUGUGAUUUCUGGGUUUUUUUUGUUUGUUUGUUUGUUUGUUUUCCGGUACCAGGAAUCGAACUCACGACCUUGCACUUGCCAGGCAGGUGCUGUGCCACUGAGCCAAGUCCCCAGCCCCUUCUCUGUGAUUUCUGGAGAACCACUUUCUAGAUGAGGAGGUGAAGCUCAUCAAGAAAACAGGUGGACUCUAUCUCUCCAGUUUCCUUUGCUCUACUGACCCUGGGAGGAUCAGGAGCACAGCUCUCCUGCUCUUCUGCCCUGGUGCCACCUGGAGGCUCCUCCUCCAACACCUCCUCCGACAGGAGCACCUUUGUUCGCACAGUCUCCUCUGCCCACAAACCAGGCUGGUGGCAGGGAGGAUGGCAGAAGGACAACAUACAGUGUCUGCAACCAGCUCAACAAGAGUACUCAGGCUUCUGCCUUGGUCUCUUGGAUCACUUGCUCCUGGGGAAGAAGCUACCAUGUUGCAAAGACAAGGUAAGCAGCCGGUGCAGAAGCCCACGUGUGGAAGAACUCCUGCCAGCGAGCGCAGUUAGCGGACAAGACAGGUGAGCCACUUUGGGAAUGCUGCAGAGAAGUCCCGAUUUUGUCUGCAAUCUCCUGAGACUCCCCAAGCCAGAACUCCCCAGAAAGACUUCUCUGAUUCCUCACCCACAAGAACAGUGAGAGAGAAAUGCUGAUUUGCAUCUUCAGCCAGUAAGUUUGGGGAUUGCUAUGCGGCAGUAUUACUGUACAUCCUAUGACUGGCUUUGGCCAAUAGCAUGAGUCAGAAGCGACAUUCUGGGACUUCUGAGCCCAGGCCUAAAGGGGACUGAGGCUCUUGCUUCCUGAUUCUUGGGACCCAGCCUCCCGGGUAGACCAGGCUGUGUGCAGAAGACGCCAAGAAGGGAACUGAGACCUCCAGGUGGCGUUCCCAGCCACCCUCCCCGCCAAGAGUCAGUGCCGGGGCCAUUUCCGGGGGUGAGCCGGCCAGGAGGUUCAGCGGAGCUGUGCCCCGGAUUCCUCAGCUGUAGCUAUUAGGGUGCUGAGCUCAGUCAGCCCACAGAAAUGCGAAGGCAAACAGGAUGGCUAUUGUUGUAAGCCUCUGAGUGUGGGGGUGACGCGGAGCACAGCAGUGUUUAGCCCUCACACUAGCCCUGCCCCUUAGCAGGCAGUCAGCUCUUGAGAAACACUGAGUGAGCGGGCGGCCCUUGCUCCAUUUCCUCCUCCACAACACGCAGAGCUGGGCCGCCCCGGGCCGCGCAUCCCCGUGACUGCAGCCCUCCGCCCUGCGGAGCCUGCUCACCUGGCCGCCUGCCCCAGGCUCUCACUUCACUCUUGCGGACGACUCCGUGUCUGUGGCAUCUCUGCCCCACCUGUGUCGGUUCCUUCUUCUCCCGUGAUGCCCACACCCUCCAGCGACCUGCUUCCUUGUGACGCUCUCCCAGCAGUUUCCCCACGCAGCCGUGUGACUUGACAGGAAGAGUGGCCGGAGGCCUCUACCUUAUGGGUGGCACCAUUCCCAGUAGGUCCCUGGGACACACAGGCAAGGAGCAAGAGAGAUGCAACUAUGUUUGCCAUUUUACCCCUCCUCAAGGCCAAGACUUACGGUGGGUUACUGGUUAGAAAAAUGACUGGCCUUGCCUGUAAUCCCAGCACGCAGGAGGCUGAGGCAGGAGGAUUGCUGUGAGUUUGAGGCCAGCCUGAGCUACAA